CAACGGCCGAGCCUCCUUUCUUGAGGAUACCCUCUCCAAUCUUUGAACACUUUUUUGAAUCGGUAACGACUGUUUGGUUGUAGUAUGUUUCCGCUGUACCCGACGUGUCCGACGUGUCCGACAUGUCCGACGUGUUACCUUGUGACGUG